rnacentral:rRNA from 1 species
AUUGAACGCUGGCGGCAGGCCUAACACAUGCAAGUCGAACGAGUGGCGGACGGGUGAGUAAUGUAUGGGACACUGCCCGAUGGAGGGGGAUAACUACUGGAAACGGUAGCUAAUACCGCAUACCCUCGGAUGUGCCCAGAUGGGAUUAGCUUGUAGGUGAGGUAACGGCUCACCUAGGCGACGAUCCCUAGCUGGUAUGAGAGGAUGACCAGCCACACUGGAAGUUGGACACGGUCCAGACUCCUACGGGAGGCAGCAGUGGGGAAUAGUGCACAAUGGACGCAAGCCUGAUGCAGCCAUGCGGCGUGUAUGAAGAGGGCCUUCGGGUUGUAAAGUACUUUCAGCGGGGAGGCGUUACCCGCAGAGGAAGCACCGGCUAACUCCGGGCCAGCAGCCGCGGUAAUUC